AGAGCCCGACGCCGGGCUUGAAACCCCGCCGUGAGAUCAUGACCUGAGCCGAAGUUGGACGCUUGACCAGCUGAGCCACCCAGGCGCCCCAGAUAAAGCUUUGCCCUGAAAGUAUGCCCACCACUAGACUUGACUUGUGACUGUCCGAGGGGAUCCCAAAAGGAAGGGGAAUUAGAGUUCAAUUCAUUAAUGACAAAAUAGCUUAAGUAAAAAUAGCUAAAAUCAUUUUUAUUAACUCCUAUAAUAACUGAAAAGUUGAGUUAAUAACUGACUUAAGGUUUGGCAGAACCCAAGGGUUCACAUGAUUCACCAGACCUUGGUCAAUCUACUUCCGUUUUUCUCUUGAGUUGAGACUUGAGAUUGGACCAGCUCUGCAAUCUCAGUGGAAAAGUUUCCCCGCCCCGUGGCCGCAGCAGAAGCCCAGGCCAGGCUCCCACUGGGACAGAUUGUGUCUUGUGGUGGUUCGUGGUUCUGACUGGCCAGGUUUGAAACAGGUUCACCCGGAAUUGCAGGGAUGGGAACAACACUUCCCAAGCCACAGGAUGAGAGGAGGGAGAUGGUUCCCAAAAGAAAAGGACUCUUGUCCUGUAAACAGCUACCAGCCCCAGCGCAAGGCGGAGAUGAGGCGCAGGCACCCGCCGAAUCCGGCUCGGGGGACUGGCUGUGACUUCCGAGAGAGGGGAUGGAGCUUCUCGGAGGGAGCUUCAGCGCCGAGGACCACAACUCCCGGCAGGCUCCGCGACGCCGCUGAACUACAAUACCCAGCAUGCCCCGGGCCGUCGGGUUUAACCUAUUCCUCCUGCAAGGUGUUCCUCACCGGAAUUUGCUCUACUGUGAAUUUUGCUUGCCAGAAAUUCCCCUAGAGAACCAAGGAAUCUAUGCGAGUAAACGUUUAGGAGCAUCGUGGAUAAA